UGGCGAACGGGUGAGUAACACGUGGGUGAUCUGCCCUGCACUUUGGGAUAAGCAUGGGAAACUGGGUCUAAUACCAGAUAGGACCAUGCUUUGGAUGGUGUGGUGGAAAGUUUUUUCGGCGUGGGAUGAGCUUGCGGCCUAUCAGCUUGUUGGUGGGGUAAUGGCCUACCAAGGCGUCGACGGGUAGCAGGCCUGAGAGGGUGUACGGCCACAUUGGGACUGAGAUACGGCCCAG
rnacentral:rRNA from 1 species